rnacentral:rRNA from 1 species
UGAAUACGAGAUGCUACGGCGUUGAAGCAGUGUAUGUCAGACUUCCAAGAAAAGCUCGCAAUGUCAUAAAUAAAGAAUGCCUGUACCAUAACCGACACAGGUGGGUAGGUAGAGUAUACUAAGGGGCGCGAGAUAACUCUCUCUAAGGAACUCGGCAAAAUGACUCCGUAACUUCGGGAGAAGGAGUGCCUUAUUUAUAAGGUUGCAAUAACAAGAUCCAAGCAACUGUUUAUCAAAAACACAGGUCUCCGCUAAGUCGUAAGACGAUGUAUGGGGGCUGACGCCUGCCCAGUGCCAGAAGGUUAAAGAAGUUGGUUAGUGUAUGCGAAGCUGAUGACUGAAGCCCUGGUGAACGGCGGCCGUAACGAUAACGGUCCUAAGGUAGCGGAAUUCCUUGUCGGGUAAGUUCCGACCCGCACGAAAGGCGUAAUGAUUUGGAUACUGUCUCGGAGAGAGGCUCGGUGAAAUAGACUUGUCUGUGAAGAUGCGGACUACCUGCACCAGGACAGAAAGACCCUAUGAAGCUUUACUGUAACUUGAAAUUGGAAUUGGACUUUGCUUGCGCAGUAUAGGUGGGAAGCGUUGAAGAUAUUCUUGCGGGAGUAUUGGAGCUAUCAGUGAGAUACCACUCUUGUAAUGUUAGAUUUCUAACUUUGAACCAUAAUCUGGUCAAAGAACAGUUUCAGGUGGGCAGUUUGACUGGGGCGGUCGCCUCCCAAAUGGUAACGGAGGCGUACAAAGGUUUCCUCUGAACGGAUAGAAAUCGUAUCUAGAAUGUAAAGGCAUAAGGAAGCUUGACUGUGAGACCUACAAGUCGAGCAGGGACGAAAGUCGGUCUUAGUGAUCUGACGGUACUGAGUGGAAAGGCCGUCACUCAACGGAUAAAAGUUACUCUAGGGAUAACAGGCUGAUCUCCCCCAAGAGUUCACAUCGACGGGGAGGUUUGGCACCUCGAUGUCGGCUCAUCGCAUCCUGGGGCGGUAGUACGUCCCAAGGGUUGGGCUGUUCGCCCAUGAAAGCGGUACGCGAGCUGGGUUCAGAACGUCGUGAGACAGUUCGGUCCAUAUCCGGUGUAGGCGUUAGGAUAUUGAGAGGAGCCUUCUUUAGUACGAGAGGACCGAGAAGGACACACCGCUGGUGUACCAGUUAUCGUGCCAACGGUAAACGCUGGGUAGCUAUGUGUGGAGUGGAUAACCGCUGAAAGCAUCUAAGUGGGAAGCCCACCUCAAGAUGAG